rnacentral:rRNA from 1 species
CCCUUAGAUGUUCUGGGCCGCACGCGCGCUACACUGUUCGACGCAGCGAGUCUUAACCUUGACCGAAAGGUUUGGGUAAUCUUCAGCAAAGUCGAACGUGAUGGGGAUCGAUCAUUGCAAUUAUUGAUCGUGAACGAGGAAUUCCUAGUAAGUGCAAGUCAUCAGCUUGCGCUGAUUACGUCCCUGCCCUUUGUACACACCGCCCGUCGCUACUACCGAUUGGGAAAAUUUUAGAGAGUCCUGGACUGAUGAUUGUUCGGCUUCACGGCCUUACUUUCGUCGGGAAAGAAUUCGAUAAUAUUUUUCUAGAGGAAGUAAAAGUCGUAACA